rnacentral:rRNA from 1 species
GAUGAACGCUAGCUACAGGCUUAACACAUGCAAGUCGAGGGGAAACGAUAUUGGAAGCUUGCUUCCGAUAGGCGUCGACCGGCGCACGGGUGAGUAACGCGUAUCCAACCAGCCCAUCACUUGGGGAUAACCUUGCGAAAGUAAGACUAAUACCCAAUGACGUCUCUAGAAGACAUCUGAAAGAGAUUAAAGAUUUAUCGGUGAUGGAUGGGGAUGCGUCUGAUUAGCUUGUUGGCGGGGUAACGGCCCACCAAGGCGACGAUCAGUAGGGGGUCUGAGAGGAAGGUCCCCCACAUUGGAGCUGAGACACGGUCCAAACUCCUACGGGAGGCAGCAGUGAGGAAUAUUGGUCAAUGGGCGAGAGCCUGAACCAGCCAAGUAGUGUGCAGGAUGACGGCCCUAUGGGUUGUAAGCUGCUUUUAUAAGGGAAUAAAGUGGGAGUCGUGACUCCUUUUGCAUGUACCUUAUGAAUAAGGACCGGCUAAUUCCGUGCCAGCCGCCGCGGUAA